ensembl:lncRNA
CACACACAGAAGGAAGAAAUAAGUGAUAUAAUCACCUUCUAAGACCUACUUUACUGGCCCCUCAAGGUCACCUGCCUCUGUGCCCCAGCUGAACUGUCCCUGCAGAAGACUUCUGCCCCCUUCAACGCUGAUGGGCAGAAAAUCAAUGCAGUGUGGGGUAGGGGUAGUCUUCCCCUCAACUUUCACUGGACUGACUCACCAUAAGCAAUUAUUACAUGUAAAUGUACCCAAACCUGAAUAAGGAUUAAAUUCAUAUUUUGGGGUAGGGUUUUUUUUAAGAUAUUAAUUGCUAAAAAGAAGAGGUGAUAAACUAUUUCCAAAGGUCAUUUUAGUUCAGCCCAAAUUGACUCUGCCUACACUGAUGUGAAAACUAAACAAACUGCAGAUAUCUUUGAACUGGAUCGUGUGGCACAGUUUGUACUGGGCAACUGUUGUUCAUGAUUUUGCAAUUCACUGAUCAACGCCACUGCGUCUGAUGGAAGCUAAAUUGCCUUCAAUCCAUGUGGACGUGCUUUCAGCUUUUUCUCCCCCUGCCCUUAUGAUUACACAAUGGAAAGGAAAACAACCACAGUGGGUCUUCCUUGUUGGAGGCUAUAACAUUGGGUGUUCCCUUCCAUCACCUGUGUUUUGGGUUUUACCCUAACCAACGUCAGGAUCCUUUCAUCUGAGGUGACAGAAAUCUACAAAUAUAGUAACAAUGCAAUCUGUUGCAGGAGAAAGCAAAGAAGAAAUUUUGGAACACCCUGCUCAGAGUCAGGUCAGCUGUUUAUAUUUUAUUUCAUAUUUCCAGAUUCAGUCUAGGCAGCCAGAGUUGCUAUUCAAAAUGUUUUGCUGACCUCAUAAGAACCAAUGUAAAUAGACUUUCUACCCAAUGACGCCAAUGCUGGAGGCAGUUUCUGUGUUUUUAUAUUUUGUGAGAUCUCUGUGUAUACUGCUUCUAAGUCCUUGUGUUGGGGAGCAGAGUUUUGCUUUGGUGUAAACUGAUACCAAUCUUUGCAGGCUACUGUUUCUCCUAGUUUCUCUCCAUUGACUAUGGAACCAAGGAGAACAGAGUGAAAGGUCACACUGUACUUAAUUCCCCUUUUCAUUCCUAUACUCCUUGAUCUUCUUUGCCUGGUGUCCAUGUCUCAGAGUUGUUUUAUGAGCAAUAUCUUGCCUUUAAAGGUUUGGACACUUGAAAGUGCCUGAGUGUGAAAAGUUGAAAUGUGCUCACCAAAUACCUGUGAGUGAACACGUAGGAGAUUUUUUCUCAGGGGUUCCCUUAGCUGCAGGUGUUCACCCGUCCAUUGCAAGGAUCACUUGAAGCACUCUAUGUAGCCUAUUCCUUUAAAUCAAGCAAUCCCCAGUGGAUAACAGAAGCUAGCAAUUAACUCAUCAAAUAUUCCUUAAGUACCUCUGAGGGGCAAAUUACAACUUUUCUAAGCAUUCACUUCUUUUUUUUUUUCUUAAUCUCAGCAUUCCUUUGAAGAAAUAAAUGACAGGACUUGAACCAACAAUUUACCAUCCAAGAAAUUGCAGUACAGAGGUUUUGCACUUUAUCCUCCAAUAAGGAGCAAGUCAAUGAAAGGGCUAGAAUAAAACACAAGUCUAAUUACAAAGUUUGGAGUCCUUUCCCUCGUCCUCCCCUAUGCUUAUGCCAAAUUCCACUUUAUAACAAAUAGCGGUGGAGACGCUCUAGCUGAGGUCUAUAUGCCUGUGGGAAAACAUAGGAGGGCCUGAGACUCCUGAAACUGUACUCAAAUGGUUUAUAUAUGUGCAUUUUUCUGAGGAAAGAGUCAAUAAUUCCAGAAU